UAAAAGCAUCAACCAAAAAACCUCAACAUAAAUUGACAGACAAGGCCGCUGCAUGAAAAGAAGAAUCUACGGCUCAGUAAGACCCAGCAACUGCAAGCACAGAAAGAAUGGAACAGUUAAAGUGCAAAGCUGGUGAAGCACGCUACGUAGAAUUUACUAGAAAUACCAAGACAAGAUUGAGAACCGCCUUCUUCCAAAGCCUCUUGGUAAUAUCCAGAUUGUAGUGCAAGAACAACAUGGACAAGAAACAUGCUGCACAAGAAUGCAGUACACCAACCAUCAAAAUCUUCCACAACUAAUCCCCUCAACUGUCACCAUACAUCCAUCCAACAAACAAAAUCAAGCUAGUGUAAUACAAAAGUAAAAGGAAGCAGAGAAUAUGAGCAGCGAGAACAACAAAAGAGAAGACCAUUUUACGAGGCUUUCAGAAGAUUCAAAAUUGAGUACUUGUUAGGUGUCCACAAGACCAUAACCAUCAGAAAACUCAUCAAUUGGAUAAUUGAAGAAAAUAAGCAUCUGAACUGAAAACCAAAAACGACGAUAGAAUAUGACCAAAAAAAAUUAUUUAGUUGAAAAUCUCAGUGCUCAUACAAGCCUCAACCAUGAAAACCUCGACAUAAAUUGGACAAACAAAGCCGCUCCAUCAAAAGAAUAUUUUACUCUAUAAGACCCAAUGGCUGCAAGCACAAAAAAAAGGGUACAAUCAAGUCCAAAACUGACAAAACCCAUACCACCUAAGAAAUCACUAGAGAUGCCAUAUAGACGAGAUUUAAAAAACCCCUUCAUUGUUGAAGCCCUGAUCAAUAUGUUCUGAUUGCAGUACAAGAACCAAAAAUACCAAGAGGGUACAGAUUGCAGUGCAAGAACCAAAAAGACCAACAGGGUAUAGAGAUAGCAUACUGGACAUCAACCUUUGAAAUCUCCAAAUCUUUAACCUGUAAUACUGCCACCAUAUAGUCUACAUAUCCAUCCAACAAAAAUAAAAAGUUGACAACCAAAAGAAAAUGGCAGGAAAAAACAUAUGUAGCUAGAAGACCAGAAGUACAGGAGCACUUAAUGGCGCUGUCAAACUAUAAGAUCAAAAAUUGACGGAGUACUUAUCAGGUGUCUAUAAGCAGAGACCUCAUCUGUCGAAGACUGAUAAUACAGAAUGAAGUGCAAGCACAGAAAUGGCAAAGAAACAAGGUGCACAAUGAACACUGGGCAUCAACCUUCGGAACUUUCCAAAUCUAAUCCUCUUAACUGCCAUCCAUCCAACAAACAAAAUCAAUCUGGAAGCAGAGUACAACACAUACUAGUUGAAAAUAUUACCAUUAUUGAGGACUUCCACACAACAGUAGUUUUGACAAAGAGAAAAGUGACACGCUGAUUAAGGAAAAGCUGAACAAAAGUUCAUUCUGUGGAACACCCAAUGAUUACAUGCACAAAUAGAACGAAACAAGUACAAAACAUGGGAAACUCAUACCACGAAGAGAGAUCACUAGAGAUGCCAAACAAUGCAACAUUGCAAAGCGCCCAUUACUUGAAGCCUGGUGAUACCCAAUCAUCCAGAUUGCAGUGCAAGCACCAGAAUGGAAAGAAAUAGGGUCCACAGGGAUGCACAUCGAAACCAAAGCACAAAAUUCACAAAUCUUACCCUCUUACUAUCAUAUCACCACCAUGUGGCCUACAAACACUCAUUCAACCGAAACUAAAUCAACUGGUAAGCUAAACGAAAGCAGAGAAGUUAAGCAGCUAGAACACAAAAGUAGAGUGCGUUACAGGGCUAUCAAAAGAUCCAAGACUGAGUUUGAAUAUACUCAUCAAGUGUCCAUAACCAUGGAGUUCUCAUCAGUUGGAUCAUUAAAAAACAUAAGCAUCUGGAUUACUUAAAAAACUGUAACAAAAUACACACUAGUGAAGCAGUGUUGACAAAGAGAAAAGC
rnacentral:lncRNA from 1 species